CAGCGCGGUGCAGCUGAUCUGGCGCGGCUUAGCUUGGCGUUAACGGUUUGCCUAGGCACUUGUGGCCGGGUGGUGCGUGUGGGUUUGCAUGUCGUCCAGGGACUUGUUGGUCUCUUUGUUUCCAUGUUUCCAUGUUUCCAUGUUCGUUUCCAUGUUUCCAUGUUCAUGGUCUGGUCUGGGUUGACACUACUGCAAUUAGCGGUUUAAGGUCCUGGGUUCGAUUCCUGGGGAGACCCCCGAAUUAGUCGGGAGCGCGAGAUUAUGGCUAGCUGCUGAGAUGUGGAGUUGAGGUCACAGUUGAUGGACCAGAUUCGCACGCUGGAUUGGUGGCGAUUGCCGAACCCUCCGUCUCUUCGGGUGUUCGGGUGAAUGGAUGAGGAGGGGUCCCUGAAGGCUGGAUCCGCCGCCUUGGACUUACAGUUCGUAUGGCGAAGUACAGUGUGGUAGUGGUGGAUGGUGCUAUAAGGUGAUAAAUGAUCUAGAACUGACAAUGUGAUAAAGCGGCCCAGAAGCUUCCCACUCUGUAACAUUACAUACAUACAUGUUCGUGGUUCCUCAGCCGGCGCGAUGUUUCACAUUAAAGUGUGUGGUGAUAAUUGCUGUUUGAAGACCGUCUGAGAUGCGAGAUGAGAGAGGUCUGUCUGAAAGUGCUUGGGAAGGAGGGGGGGAUAUUGGGUGCGCGAUCUUUUGGUCGUGCUCUGGCUCUCCAUGCUGUGUGGGUGGGUAGAGGCAGCCAU
rnacentral:lncRNA from 1 species